UACAGAGGUCUCAAGCGUUGUUCGGAUUCAUUGGGCGUAAAGGGCGCGUAGGCUGCGGGGCAAGUCGGGUGUGAAAUCUCAGAGCUUAACUCCGAAACUGCAUUCGAUACUGCCGUGCUUGAGGACUGGAGAGGAGACUGGAAUUUACGGUGUAGCGGUGAAAUGCGUAGAUAUCGUAAGGAAGACCAGUGGCGAAGGCGGGUCUCUGGACAGUUCCUGACGCUGAGGCACGAAGGUCAGGGGAGCAAACGGG
rnacentral:rRNA from 1 species